rnacentral:lncRNA from 1 species
CAUUCCAAGCCUCUGCAAUCACUCUCCUGCAGUCAGAGUUAAGCAGCCACAUUUUAUGAAAUUUGAAGGAGGAUUUUCUAGUCUGCACUUGAUUGUUACUAGAGAAAAGUAAAGGGAAAUGAUCUGAAGCAACUCUAGACAAGGUGCAACAAACAAAUUGAGUGAAAGCAUUGACCCAACCAUCAUUCACCAUAGCUCUAUCAAGCCUUUUUUCAGUGCAAGCAUUACCAAUACGCCUAUUUGACCAAGUAAAUUGUGCACCCGUGGUUGGAAGACUGAUAAAACCAGCAUUGUCAAUAAAAGCCUGAAACUCAGCAGUAGGAAUUCUAGCAGGCAAUCUGAGACUUCUACAUUCAUGAGCUCCCAAGACCACAUUAAAGUCUCCUAUGCAGCACCAAGGACCAGGAUAAUCAGAGAUUACCUGAUGGAUUUCAGACCACAGGGUCCUCCGAAAUAGGUAAUUAGUGCUAGCAUAGACUACACAGAAAAACAGAA